GAUUCGGCCCAGAGAGGGUGAAAGGCCCGUACGGGUGGAGGUUCAGACAUGUGAGGCGAUCCCCCAGGUCGACCUUAGAGUCGGGUUGUUUGAGUUUGCAGCCCAAAGUGGGUGGUAAACUCCAUCCAAGGCUAAAUACAGACACGAGUCCGAUAGCGAACAAGUACCGUGAGGGAAAGUUGAAAAGUACUCUGAAGAGAGAGUAAACAGUACGUGAAACCGCAUGCAGGUAAACGGGUGGCGUCAAGCUGCAAGCCCAGAGGAUUCAGCCGAUUAGGAUGUAGUGUAUGCGCGUGGCGCAUCUAUCAGCCAGAGUAUGAAAGGAUAGUCCACUGGUAGACGGUGGGCCCGACUUCCCUUGCGGUAGUUGCGAUGUGUGUACCGGGUGGGUGCCGGAGCAUGCUAUCUGUCUGGGGGCUGUCUAGUCGGUGCACUUUCUCUGUCCUGAACACCACGACCGGUGGUAUUGCCAGUCUGCUGUGCCCAAGUUGUGCUCGGUUGGUCCUUGUGGCUAACUGGGUGCAGGCAUCACAAGCAAAUUCAGUAAACGGCGUAGAGGUGUUUCGGCAUUUCUGCGUGUUAUCGGCAACUGGUUGUGAACGGGCCUGCUCGGUGCUUGUUGUAGUCGGCAUCGAGUGGCUCGGUGGGGCAUGGUGGUAAGAAUAAGAGUGCAAGGCACCGGUGUUGUCGGCCUCAAAUG
rnacentral:rRNA from 1 species